rnacentral:rRNA from 1 species
GGAAACCUUGUUACGACUUUUACUUCCUCUAAAUGACCGAGUUUGACGAACUUUCCGGCUUGAGGUGGUCGUUGCCAACCUCCUCGAGCCAGUCCGAACGCCUCACUGAGCCAUUCAAUCGGUAGUAGCGAC